rnacentral:tRNA from 1 species
GCCGAGGUAGCUCAGCUGGUUAGAGCGCAGGAUUCAUAAUCCUGAGGUCGGCAGUUCAAUCCUGCCUCUCGGUA